CACACCGCCCGUCACACCAUGGGAUUUGGAUUCACCCGAAGGCAGUGCGCUAACCGCAAGGAGGCAGCUGACCACGGUGGGUUUAGAGACUGGGGUG
rnacentral:rRNA from 1 species